UAUAUAUUCAUUCGAAUAUACAUUUCUAACCCCUUGUCUAAACCACCUGUUGCUUCCGGCUGUUUGGGCUGUAUAGUUAGCUGUAUAGCCUGGCCGGAAGGUUAAUAUAAAUAUUGUAUUUAGAGUCUUCUGAAUUUUAAAAUAAAAGUUAAAACUUUCAACAACGGAUCUCUUGGUUCUCGCAUCGAUGAAGAACGCAGCGAAAUGCGAUAAGUAGUGUGAAUUGCAGAAUUCAGUGAAUCAUCGAAUCUUUGAACGCACAUUGCGCCUUCCGGUAUUCCGGAAGGCAUGCCUGUCCGAGCGUCAUCAAAAACCACUCAAGUAGUUUUGCUUGGUUAUGAAAGAAGAGUUUGCUUGCGAAUUCCCUUUCGAAAUUCAAUGGCGGAGGGUCUCAUGAUUCCGGUGUAGUAAUAACUUAUUCGCUUGGUCAUUGUGACAAUCCUGCCUCAAACCCCCAAUUCUAGUGUUUGACCUCGGAUCAGGUAGGGAUACCCGCUGAACUUAAGCAUAUCAAUA
rnacentral:misc_RNA from 1 species